UCGAAGGUAGCAUAAUCAGUAGUCUUUUAAUUGAAGGCUAGUAUGAAUGGUUGGACGAAAUAUUAACUGUUUCAUAAAAAUUUAAAAUAAAAUUUUAUUUUUUAGUUAAAAAGCUAAAAUAAAUUUAAAAGACGAGAAGACCCUAUAAAUCUUUAUAUUUAAUUUAUUAUAAUUUUAUAGAUUAGUUUUGUUAUAAUAAAUAAUAAUAUUUUAUUGGGGUGAUAUUAAAAUUUAACUAACUUUUAAUUUUAAAAUCAUUAAUUUAUGAAUAAUUGAUCCAUUAUUAGUGAUUAAAAAAAUAAGUUACUUUAGGGAUAACAGCGUAAUUUUUUUGGAGAGUUCUUAUCGAUAAAAAAGAUUGCGACCUCGAUGUUGGAUUAA
rnacentral:rRNA from 1 species